rnacentral:lncRNA from 1 species
AGGCAGACAGUAAAGAGAGACACAAAUCUAACUUGGGCAGAGGGUGUGUUCCUCUUUGUCACCCGCCGGGAACCUCGCGCCGCGCGUGGGCGAGCGGCGGGCACCCGGCGGCGCGGUGGCAACCACGCCAGCGGCCACCUCCCCGGCCCGCAACCGGCCUCACGGGCCGAGAUUGCGGCCCGAGGUCCGGAAGCGGCGUCCGGCGCUGUCAGCGGGCGGGUAGGACGGGAGGAAGCGGGGGAAGGGCGCCGGGGUCGGGAGAGGCUAGCGGGGACCGGCGCGGAGCCCCGCAGCCCCAGGUCGGCGGAGGUGAGGGGAGAGGGGCGCAGGGGGCGGCGCGGAGCCCCGAGGCCCCCGAGCUCCUGCGAUGGUGGCCGGGGCUGCCCGGGCCCGGCCCGCCGCCCGACUGCGCGGAGCAGGACCCCGGGGACCACGCGCCCACCUUCGCCCGCGGCCCCGGCCGUGCGCUGCGGGAGCCUGGACUCGCACAAGUUGCAGCCCGCGGCCCGGACCCCGCCGGCCCCCGCCCUCCCGCCGCGGUCAUUGUUCACCGCGCGCCUCCUACCUCCACAGCGCCGGCGGCUGCGGCGGCUCCCUCUCCCGGCUCGUGCUCCGGGCUCGGCGGCUCCCAAGCCUCCGGCGGCCGAGGGCGCGGCGGCGCCGGCUAUUAAUACCCGCGGGCGGCGGCGGCGGCGCGGGCGCGCUAGCGGGGCUGGCGGUGGCCGGCCGAGGUCCGAGCCAUCAAAGGUGGCGCGGGGCGGAGGGGAGGGCGGAGCAGGCGGGGUGGGUGGGGAGCGGGCUCCGGGUCGCCAUGGCCGCCUAGACGCCGGGGCCAGCGCCACUCGCGCAAGGAGGAGCGGCGCUAAGCGGGCGGCGGCCGCGUCCCCGCCCCGCGCCCCAGCCGAGCGCCCGCACCGCUGCGCCCGCGCCGGACCCGCCGCCUCCGAGGCCGGCGAGCGGGAAGUGCUGUGGCCGCCGCCCCUCCCCGGGUCUGGGCCGGCCCCUCGGCGGGGGGAGGCGGGCGCCGCGCAGCCCGAGCGGCGGGGACGCGGGAGAGCCACAGCCCCCUCCAGCGUCCGGGCCCGCGCCCUGCGCCCGCCCCGCUCCGCUCGGGCAGGUGCGCCCAGGGGCCUCCUGAGCCCAGCGCGCCACCGGGGAUCUGCGCCUCUCUUGGGCGUCCAGCCAGGGCCGGGCUCCGCGCGGCGCUACCAAACCGAGCGCGGGGAGCGCCACCGGCGAGACGCGAAUCCGGCCGCUGUGGCGAAAAACGAACCGGGGAGAGCGGGAGACGCGUGCACGGCGAAGCCGGGAGCGGCAGGCGGGCGGUCAGGGGCUCGGACUCUGCAGGUCGCUUUUUGA